CCGACCUUAGCUCAGUUGGUAGAGCGCGAGACUGUAAUUGGAUAUAUCUUGAGGUCGCCUGUUCGAUCCAGGCAGGUCGGA